UCCCUGCAGCACAUCUGUGCCCGGCGCUUCCACGGGCACUUGGCCUCGAUCCACGAUUCCCGCACCAACAGCUUCCUGCUGCUCCUGGCGCGCCAGCGCUCCAUUGCUGGCGAGGUCUGGAUCGGUGCCGUCAGCCAGCCCGCUAUCCCAAUCCCGAGCUGCCACUGGACUGACCGGAGCCCCUGGAACUACAGCCGGUGGAUUCCCGGGCACCCCCUGCCCGGCCACUGCUUCUGCACCGCCAUCUGCACCAACAAUGGGCUCUGGAGGAGUGUGCGCUGCAAGAAGCGGCUGCCCUUCAUCUGUGAGAUAUGAAGGGCUCAGCCCUCCUGGAUGCCCCCAGGCCUUCCCCACAUCUGCUCCCCCCCGGGGGGGCUGCACCCCCUCCCUUGGAGUACAAUAAAGUCUUGCUGUCGGCA